GUGUUUGCUUUGGCAGCACAGGUACUAAAAUUGGAACCAGAGAAGAUUAGCAUGGCCCCUGUGCAAGGCUGACUUGCAACUUUAUGAAACAUUUCAUAUUUAU
ensembl:snRNA U6 U6 spliceosomal RNA